CCUCGAUGUCGGCUCACCACAUCCUGGGGGUGGAGAAGCUCCCAAAGGUUUGGCUGUUCGCCAAUUAAAGUGGUACGCGAGCUGGGUUCAGACCGUCCUUCGGCAAUAAAGAUUGCCUCAGGACAGUCUGAAUCACUUCGAGAAUAUUUUUUGUUUAAUAGCACACAAAGUCAUUUUAAGCUUUGUGUUGUAACAGUUAGGAAGUAGGUCAAUCAACCACGGCGGUCCUACGAAGCUCUGAAAGAGCGUAGUAGGAACAAGUCGAUUUAUAUCGGUGGAACCCUUCGAAAAUAUUACAUAUUUUCUCAGGGCAAUACCGAGGGAAGUUUAUGAAAUUCAUAAUCGCCCGUAGAGACUAAACAUCGACACUUCAAGAAAUUGAAGGAAGCUAUAGUCCAAUGCAAUGAGUAAUCAUUGAUAAUCCUUCCGACAUAAAAGUCGUCAGGAUUUAUAACAUGCGUGAGACAGGUUGGUCUCCUAUCUACUGCAGGCGUUGAUACUUGAGGGGAUUUGACUCUAGUACGAGAGGACCGAGUUGAACGAACCUCUGGUCUACCUGCUGUUCUGCCAAGAGCAACGCAGGGUAGCUAUGUUCGGAUCGGAUAACCGCUGAAAGCAUAUAAGCGGGAAGCCGGCCCCAAGAUUAGGUAUCGUUAAAGACCCGUGAGAGAUGAUCACGUUGAUAGGCUUUAGGUGUACGCGCCGUAAGGUGUUGAGCCGUGAAGUACUAAUCCGUCGAUC
rnacentral:rRNA from 1 species